GCUAGUCUUGUGUAAUGGUUUGAGCACUGGACUAUGACUCUGGAGACAGGGUUCAAAUCCCUGUUCAGCC